AGUGAACGCUGGCGGUAGGCCUAACACAUGCAAGUCGAACGGCAGCACAGUAAGAGCUUGCUCUUACGGGUGGCGAGUGGCGGACGGGUGAGGAAUACAUCGGAAUCUACCUUUUCGUGGGGGAUAGCGUAGGGAAACUUACGCUAAUACCGCAUACGACCUACGGGUGAAAGCAGGGGAUCUUCGGACCUUGCGCGAUUGAAUGAGCCGAUGUCGGAUUAGCUAGUUGGCGGGGUAAAGGCCCACCAAGGCGACGAUCCGUAGCUGGUCUGAGAGGAUGAUCAGCCACACUGGAACUGAGACACGGUCCAGACUCCUACGGGAGGCAGCAGUGGGGAAUAUUGGACAAUGGGCGCAAGCCUGAUCCAGCCAUACCGCGUGGGUGAAGAAGGCCUUCGGGUUGUAAAGCCCUUUUGUUGGGAAAGAAAAGCAGCAGGUUAAUACCCCGCUGUUCUGACGGUACCCAAAGAAUAAGCACCGGCUAACUUCGUG
rnacentral:rRNA from 1 species